GCAUCGGUGGUUCAGUGGCAGAAUGCUCGCCUGCCACGCGGGCGGCCCAGGUUCGAUUCCCAACUGAUGUA
rnacentral:tRNA from 1 species